rnacentral:rRNA from 1 species
GACGAACGCUGGCGGCGUGCUUAACACAUGCAAGUCGAACGGUGAAGGGACCAGCUUGCUGGUUCUGGAUGAGUGGCGAACGGGUGAGUAACACGUGAGUAACCUGCCCCCUUCUUCUGGAUAACCGCAUGAAAGUGUGGCUAAUACGGGAUAUUCUGGGUCUGUCGCAUGGCGGGCCCGGGAAAGAUAUUGCUUCGGUGGGGGAUGGGCUCGCGGCCUAUCAGCUUGUUGGUGGGGUGAUGGCCUACCAAGGCGGUGACGGGUAGCCGGCCUGAGAGGGUGGACGGUCACACUGGGACUGAGACACGGCCCAGACUCCUACGGGAGGCAGCAGUAGGGAAUAUUGCACAAUGGGCGCAAGCCUGAUGCAGCGACGCCGCGUGAGGGAUGGAGGCCUUCGGGUUGUAAACCUCUUUCGCCAGUGAAGCAGGCCUGCUCCUUGUGGGUGGGUUGACGGUAGCUGGAUAAGAAGCGCCGGCUAACUACGUG